rnacentral:tRNA from 1 species
GCUUCUGUGGCUCAGUGGUAGAGCGCAACCUUGGUAAGGUUGAGGUCGCGGGUUCGACUCCCGCCAGAAGCU